UACGUAGGGUGCGAGCGUUAAUCGGAAUUACUGGGCGUAAAGCGUGCGCAGGCGGUCUUGUAAGACAGUCGUGAAUCCCUGGGCUUAACCUAGGAACUGCGAUUGCGACUGCAAGGCUAGAGUGUGUCAGAGGGGGGUGGAAUUCCACGUGUAGCAGUGAAAUGCGUAGAGAUGUGGAGGAACACCGAUGGCGGAGGCAGCCCCCUGGGAUAACACUGACGCUCAUGCACGAAAGCGUGGGGAGCAAACAGG
rnacentral:rRNA from 1 species